UACAGAGGUCCCAAGCGUUGUUCGGAUUCAUUGGGCGUAAAGGGUGUGUAGGUGGCGCCGUAAGUCGGGUGUGAAAUCUCGGGGCUUAACUCCGAAACUGCAUUCGAUACUGCGGUGCUUGAGGACUGGAGAGGAGACUGGAAUUCAUGGUGUAGCAGUGAAAUGCGUAGAGAUCAUGAGGAAGACCAGUGGCGAAGGCGGGUCUCUGGACAGUUUCUGACACUGAGACACGAAGGCCAGGGGAGCAAACGGG
rnacentral:rRNA from 1 species